ensembl:lncRNA
UCCUUGGGUGAUAGAUAUGAGUAUCCAACAAGUAAAAAUGAUGCAUAUCUUAUUUAUAUUUACAGAAUUUGCCUAGUCACAUUUGCUUAGAAGUACAUUUUCAUAAGACCUGUGGUGCCAGUGUUUCGUAGUCUUCAAGUGGGAAAAAUAUGUUUCUACUGGAACAGGAAAAAAGGUCGAACAAAGCCCUUCUCAAGUUCCAGCACCAUAACAUUGCAUGAGAAUGUCAACAUAAAAGGUUUUAUUAAAAAAAAAAAAUGGUAUGGUGAAAUAGCUUAUUUUUCUUUUUUUUUUUUUUUAAAUAAGUGAUAGCAUUAUUUAAAUGCAUGAAGCAAUUUUAUUUCUCUCUCUUCUUUAGCUUUUCAGAGUUCUUUACCAAAUCAGAUGUUAGAAUAAACAAUAGCCCAGCAACAACCAUCAGUUCUUAAAAAGGUUUGCGGUGGAGUUGUUCUUAACUCUCUGGCAAGUCUGACUCAAUUAAUAUACUGGAUAUCCAGAGAGGAGGUGGAGGCAAAAAGAGGGAAGUUUUGCAGAACACAAUAAAGUUCUGAUUUUAACUUGAAUUCUGUGUCCUAAGUCAGCGAAAGUUAAUUAUAAAAAUAAUCCAAAAAAAUGCACACACACACAAAACCCCGAAGAUUUAUCUCAAAAACCUUCACAAAUCUAAAUCUCUAAAGUAAAAUUGCAGAGCACAAAUACUGUCUUGCUAAGCAAAAAUUAUUAUAUAUCUGUGAACAAGAUUGUGUUGUACAUGCCUGUAUUGUUGAAAGAAAUGACUGAUAAUUUUUCCUGCAUGAAUAAUAGAGAGGAGAAAAUGACCAAGGCAGAGAUGUAGUGAAGACAGACCGUUCCAGAUGGGAUUAAGCUGAAGGUUGGUCAUUUUGACAUUGAGUGCAUUUUAAUUCAAUAGCGUAUUAAUCAGAAACUGCCUUCCCUUCAGCCUCUCCUGAACAAUCAAGAUUGAGCAUAAUGUCACAUUUGCAAGUAAUUUGUGCAAAUGAAUUGUAGAAUAUAAUGCAUUUUGCUGAUACUCUAAGCAGUUUUCAGUCAGUACAGAACUUGAAAGUUCAUUAGGCAUUUGAAUACUCAGCUUGCAGAAUACAGACAUAGUGUGAUUGCAGUCACCAAUUAGUAACUUAAAUAGAUAUAACUCCAUGCAGCUCAGCCUAUCAGUGAAAAAAGGAAGCAAAAGCUAAAAAUGAUAAUUGUUUUUAGAUGCCUAUGGAGAUAGCACACAAAGAUAUAGGUGGCAGCUAGCUCCCAAUUAAUGAUUUCAUUAAAAGCCAGUGUGAGAAGCAGUGUUUGCAUCCACAGUAGAUGCAGAGAGUGUUCCAGUGUAAGCACUGACUAGAGAGAUGAAGCCAAAUCAAAAUCCUGUAUACAGGCGCACUUCAUCUCAGAGCAGAUGAAAUCCUGCAGCCAACUGAACUGCAGAGUUUGUGGUGAACGUGGACUUGGCCCACAGUAGGAAACCUGAAUUUUAGCUGUGAGUUUGUGUCCAGAUCCGGGGUUUUGGUUCAAAAGUCAUCUCUACUUUACAGGAGUGAUACCAAGCAUAUGCUUGAAAUGAAUGUGGUAUUUAGUAUCUUUGAAGAGGAGCUGAAGUGACAUGAGCCAAAUCCCAGCAAUAGCAGCAUUUUUGAGAUAAAAUUGAAGCCAAGGGUGUCUGUUAUGUAUUAGCAGAUUAUAGUUUAUUGGGGCCUACAUAAUUUAAGAAAAUGUAAAUUAAAAUUAAAAGCUUGUAAAAUUAUGUACAUCUUUACUAUUUCUCAAUAAAUACACUUGGAAAUGUCAUUUGCUGCACUAUAACAUUUUGUAAGAUGUUUGGUUUGCGGUUGAAACCCUCAGUAAAUAAUAUCUCUUAUGAGAACUGAGCAUGGCCUUGGACUCCUCUUAAGUAUGUCGGUGCUGCCCCAGUGAUCCACAUCAAGCGACUCUGUGCCCUUGCAGUAUGGUAGCGACAAGCUUCCCUCUGUGCUGUUUGCAAGGUGCAGCCCUGCAGGAAACCUCCCUUGUCCCCUUGUCCUGCACCCAGGUUUCCUUACAAAGGACAGCAGAUGUCCCGCUCCAGCUUGCAGUUCAACAGAGCUUUUUUAUUACAAUGGCAUGGGGACACUUUGAUGAUCUAGACACGUAAUGCAUGAAUUUAAAUUCUCUUACCAAUUCAUUAACUAAUGUUAUGCUAAUAUCUUCUCUGUGGAGAAUAACCUCCAAAACAGAAAAGUUGUUCAGGAGACAGACGGGAGCACUCCAGUGAAGCUGAGCCUUGUGAAACUUUGCAUGGUGUCUUUGGGAGUGGUGUUUUAUGUUGGGGGCUAGUCUUGUUUUGAAAGUAGCAAUCCCGUUGCUGUCUGCUUGCAGGGGCUUUAAAAAAGUCAUUUCAAAAGGCAGGGCUGCAAGCUUAUCAGCACACAUAAUGUGACGUUACAGUCUUGGAAACAAUACUGCAAGUGGCAGAGCCUUGGGCCCUGGUACUCCAGCACUUCAACCACAACAAGCGGAUCUUUUGUUUGUUUGUUUGUUUGUUUGUUUGUUUGUUUUAAAUUUGUGUUGGACAAGCAAAAAAAAACCAACUGUUGUCACACAAAGUACAAUUUCUCAGCACUGGCAGAUGAAUUCAUCCUCAAAUAUCUGUCUGAAUGUGGGUCAUUAGAAAUUUACAUAUGCUCUCCAAUAAAGAUGAAGCAUGAGAGCACAGGAAAACAAAGGACGUAGAUUUAAACAAACGAGAACAUAUCAAGGAGUCAGGUUGAGAACAGAGGUUAAUUAGACUUGAUUUUUUUCUGCUGUUUUCUCAGUGGCUAGGAAGAUGAAGAGCAUCAGAGAAGCAGCAAAUGGAAAGCAAUUUGUGUUUCCUAGGCUACUAUGCUACCUUCUGUGCUCUUCUCCAGGAAGCACAUACUUUUUAUACUAGUAAAUAAAUAGGAAAGAAAGAGAGAAAGAGAGAAAGAGAGAGAGAAAGAGAGAGAGACAGAGAGACAGAGAGACAGAGAGACAGAAAGAAAGAAAGAAAGAAAGAAAGAAAGAAAGAAAGAAAGAAAGAAAGAAAGAAAGAAAGAAAGAAAGAAAGAAAGAAAGAGAGAGAAUCCCUACCAACCAGAACUGUUUGGAAAAUAUUCAAAAUUUGUUACUCACUGAAACCAAAAUAUGGGUACACACAUGUGCCGAUGAAUGAAACAUUUACAGUCCUGUUUAGAGAAAAAAAAACAAAAUAGUCUUAGCGAAUAAUUUGUUGGUUUUUUUUUUUUUUCGACAUAGUUCACAGAGGAAAAGAACCAAAACAGUUGAUAUGCUGUUACUUAUUCUGUAGCUCUAAACAGGUUUUUUUCUUUAUUAAAUAGAAAUAGUUGAGCCAGAAUCUGAUUUUGUUUCUGUUAAUAGUAGCAAUAGC